rnacentral:lncRNA from 1 species
AUCGCUCUCCACAUUGGUAUAAUCUUUCACUCAUAUAUUGUUUGCCAAAGGGGGGGUUUAAAAAGGGCUCUAACUACUCCGUUUUUGGCGAUUAAUGCCAACGGGGGAGAGAGUAUUAGCCCAAAGCAAAAGGACCGCACCACCACGCUAAUUUCAAAAAAAUUCGAAGCAAAGUUGUUUUUCAAUUGGUAUCUUUGAGAUUAGUACCCUUCUAAGAAAUUCUAUCUCAAUAUCUAUAUUUUAAGGAGGAGUUUCUCAAAAAUUGGUAUCUAAAAUAUUUGACCUUCUUUCAAAGGAUAAAAACCCUCUGUUAAUAGAUUACUAGUGGAGAUGUAUGAGAGAAGAGGAAGAUACAGAGGAACAGAGAGAUACGGUAGAGAGCUGGUAGCGCCGUGACGGUCGGAAACAAGUGGAAGUUUAGGUUAUUACAUUUCAUACCCUCUACCGCAACACAUUCCUACUAUAUAUAUACUCCAGUCUCUGCUUGUGCAUCGUGGGUUCAUUUUCCUUUGACAGAACGCCCCUUCUCAGCCCAUCAUCAGCUUGCUCUUCUGACCCAUCAUCCAACUCAGCGUUCAACCGCUCCUGUGCCACAACCGGCAAGACCUGCUCUGUCGAAGGGCUGAUGCUGACAUUCCCCCUUCUUCGAACGCCGCUUGUCCCCAAGCGACCACUAAUGGAAAGUGAUUCUUCUGCGCUUCGGCGUCCUCCCAAGUUGCAUGCGAAGCAUCCAUCCCUGACCAGAUCACUUGAACCAUAUACCAACUGCAUAGUGAAAGGUGAAUUGGGAUAUGCAGAGACGAUGACCAAUUGAGUCAAUAACUCUUGUGCUUACGUAUCAUGAUCUUUGAGAGUCGGUGUGUACUGAUAGAGGCACACAGUAAACAUAUGUGCACCGAGUAACAGAGGGAUAUUGUGAUCACCAGGCCUGCUUGGAGGCAACCCAACUAGAUCCUCAAAAAUAUCCAAAAACUGGUAAUGAAUAUCCUGCACCUGAGUAUUGAUUAUUGGCAUCUUGCUGUCAGGGAAACGGUUCUGCUGGGAGGUGGCCGAGAGUAACCACAGCUCCACUAUUGCUCCUGUGGAAACAGAAGGGUGAACACCUUGUAAACACCUAGUUGCUCCUUGAUAGGGAAUGCUCAUCCAUUUGUUAGACCAGUUCACUAGCAUAGGACUAUAUCGUUGUAGCCUGUCCAUGCCCACGACCAGAUCAAACAAGGGUAAGAGUAAAAACGUGAGAUCCACUGAAAAACUGCGAACAUGCAUGGUCCACUCAACUGAAGGCACCUGAUAAUUGCAAGUAAUAACUUGACCAAAUGAAGGUAUUGGCAAGAACUUCAGGUCUGCUGAAAAGUGACAGCCCGACAUACUCCACUUGGCUGAAGGCAAAUGGUAAUGGCAAGGAAUAACUUGUCUAAUAGCCAGUUGAACUGUGAUUGGGUUAACCAGAGGUUCCACACCCGAUAACAUUGGUCGCAAUUUGUCACUGAUAAAAGUAUGAGAAGAUCCAGAGUCAAUGAGCACCAUAAUGUCUUGCUGCUGCAUUUGAUCUUAUAAUUUUAGUGUGGUAACUGUCUGAGUACUUGACCAAGCUAGAGAUGACAACACCAUCAUGAGUUGUUCUGUGGGUUCAGAUAUUCGCUCAGUCCAAUUAUAGGACCUGUAACCAACCUCACUACACAAUCUGAAGAAAAACCAUGGUAUUGGCCUGAAUUGAACAGAAUCUCUGUGCAUAAGCCCAGCAACACUCGUACCACUAAAUAUGACAUAAGCUUGAUCAGUUUGCCUUGUUGUUGCAAGUGCAUUCAGUGGACAAUGGUAGGUUUCUCCUUUCCACUUAAUACCAUGUGGCUUCAUUUCUUCUAAAAGCAUGAUCGUUGCAUCUGUAAUUUUAGAAAUCUCCCUUUUCUCCACUCUGCGAGAUGAUUUUGUAUCACACUGUUGUAGAAUCAUGGAUAGUACCAUCAUGAAGUCUAGGACACCCACGACCAGAAUAGGCACCCAUAUGAAUUUCAGCACACAUCUAAAGGAACCCACUUCUCGAAUAGAAAUUGAGCUCAACAUUGUCACCAAUAUGUGCCCUUGGCCAUCAUACACAACUAACUUCCAGGAAUUACCAUAAUGUAUGAAUAGAUAACUAGACAACCAUCUAAGUUCCUGGUCACCAGAACCAACAAACCAAGCCAACACACUACUCAGCCUAUAGAUAAUCUUGAAUUUCGCACUCUUCUGCAGCAUGCACCUUCCACCUACCACUGCAAUUGAUUCCAAUGCUAAUAGUGGAGCCAAUCCAAUUGGAGAGAAACUGAAAGAUGGCCAUGGUAUUGGCCGCACUUCAGUAUUACCGAUAGCAUGUGCCAGGUCUUGCAUCGUCGAGCCAACACCAUUGUUGCAGGUGGCAAUAACAUGUGAUGACAAUUCCUCAAACACACGGUGGGCACCUAGAACUAGAACCGCGUGACCAUUGUUGAUGUGCUGUUGGAGUUCGACCAUAUCCGGAGGUGACCCACACAGCUUGAAGAUCUUCAGCAGCUGGUACAUCUCGCCACUGCCGGGCAUGAGGGGCUUGCCGAAGAAGAUCUCGUUGAGGCAACCCACGCUCCAGAGGUCGAAGCCGACGCUGUAGCUGGUGGAGUUCAGCAGCAGCACAGGUGUGCGGUACCAGAGCGUGACGACGCGGCUGGUGAGCGGUUGUCGGCACCCAGCGCCGUAGUUGGCGAGGCCGAAGUCACCAAUCUUGAGCAUGUCGGGGUAGUCGAUCAGCAGAUUGGAGCCCUUGAUGUCCUGGUGAAGGAUGCCCUGCUCAUGGCAGUGCUGCAGCCCCACAAACAGCUUGGCACCAAUCAAGGUAGGUGAAGGCUUGAGGUACUACUGCAGCAGGUGCUCGAUCUGUCCAGUGCAGAUGGUGUCCACCGUCUUUUCCUCCAGGUUGCACACUGGGUGCGCGAAGGCGACCACGUCCCACUCCUUGCUGACGGCCUGGUGGUGGCCUGACAGGAAGUUAUGCGUGAGGACGAGGGCGCACCGGAGUUGGCCCUAUGCCACGGACACCAUGUUGCUGCCGGUGACUUGGGCGACGAUGUGCCCCGCGGCGGCAGCGGUCGGUAGUUCGAUGUGGUCGGAGCCGAUUUCCGCUGGGAGGAGCAGCUCCAGGUACUUGAGCGAUGGUCUAGGCGCCCUCGAAGCGAAGAGCACGGGUGCGGCCUUGGCGAGCGCGUCCGGGGGGACGGUGCCCGAGAUCUCGUUGUUGGGGCCGAUGGAGGCGAUGGUGAAGGAGGCAGGAGUGCACCCGCGCAGGAUGAGUCGCGCCUCGACUCCAUCCCGCUGAUCCGAGUGGGGAAGGAAGGCGAUGUCGGUCUCGUGCUCUAGGAGAUGGGACAUCACGGAUCCAUGGUCGCCGUGGACGGAGUUGUCGUCGUCCGAGUCAAGCGGUGCACCCGAAUCGUUGUUGAAGAAGCGUCCGCGUGCGGCCGGGUGCACCGAUUCCACCGCAACCUCUGGUGUGACGCAGGUAGUCGCGUCGGGGUUGGAGGAAGGGCUGUCCCAGUGGCCGGCGAAAUCGGCGUCGACAGCCGCGUCCGCUCCAUCGAAGAAUCCGCCCCAGUUGUCGGUGAUUAUAGGAUCCGCAUAGUGCUUCUCGGUGGAGUCGUUGCCACUGUCAAAAAGGUCGCCCCAAUUGUCGGCGACCACGUCGGCUCCGGCAGCCGUGGACUGGGUCGGAACAGGGACGCGCCUGGAUGCCUCCCGCACGGCCCACCGCGCGUCGAACUUGUCAAAGAACUCGCUAAUGGCGUCGAGGAUGAGCUUCGUGUCGAGUGACAUGGCGAUGCGGUGAAGUUGAGGAAAGUGGAUUAAGGUAGAAAACUCCAAGGAUCGAACGAAUCUGAUACCAAUUGUUAACAGAUUACUAGUGGAGAUGUAUGAGAGAAGAGGAAGAUACAGAGAAACAGAGAGAUACGGUAGAGAGCUGGUAGCGCCGUGACGGCCGGAAACAAGUGGAAGUUUAGGUUAUUACAUUUCAUACCCUCUACCGCAACACAUUCCUACUAUAUAUAUAUACUCUAGUUUCUGCUUGUGCAUCGUGGGUUCAUUUUCCUUUGACAGAACGCCCCUUCUCGGCCCAUCAUCAGCUUGCUCUUCUGGCCCAUCAUCCAACUCAGCGUUCAACCGCUCCUGUGCCACAACCGGCAAGACCUGCUCUGUCGAAGGGCUGAUGCUGAC